rnacentral:rRNA from 1 species
GACGAACGCUGGCGGCAUGCCUAAUACAUGCAAGUCGAGCGAACAGACGAAGUGCUUGCACUUCUGACGUUAGCGGCGAACGGGUGAGUAACACGUAAGGAAUCUACCUAUAAGCGGGGGAUAACAUUCGGAAACGGGUGCUAAUACCGCAUAAUAUCUUCUUCCGCAUGGAAGAAGAUUGAAAGACGGCUCUGCUGUCACUUAUAGAUGACCUUGCGGUGCAUUAGUUAGUUGGUGGGGUAACGGCCUACCAAGACGAUGAUGCAUAGCCGACCUGAGAGGGUGAUCGGCCACAUUGGGACUGAGACACGGCCCAAACUCCUACGGGAGGCAGCAGUAGGGGAUCUUCCGCAAUGGGCGAAAGCCUGACGGAGCAAUGCCGCGUGAGUGAAGAAGGCCUUCGGGUCGUAAAACUCUGUUAUAAGAGAAGAACAAAUUGUAGAGUAACUGCUACAGUCUUGACGGUAUCUUAUCAGAAAGCCACGGCUAACUACGUGCCAGCCGCCGCAGUAA